UACGGAGGGUGCGAGCGUUGUCCGGAAUCACUGGGCGUAAAGGGCGCGUAGGUGGCCUGUGGAAGUCUGCGGUGAAAGCCCGGCGCUCAACGCCGGGUCGGCCGUGGAUACUCUCGGGCUCGAGCUUACUAGAGGCAGAUGGAAUUCCGGGUGUAGCGGUGGAAUGCGUAGAGAUCCGGAAGAACACCGGUGGCGAAAGCGGCUCACUGGACCAUUACUGACGCUGAGGCACGAAAGCUAGGGGAGCAAACAGG
rnacentral:rRNA from 1 species